CCAUUGAUUUCAUUUGAUCAAAAGGCUAAUAAAUGAAAACUUAAAAGUAUCAUGUAUCAUAUUUAUUGUGAUUUUCAUUUCCUAAUUUAUUCCUCCAGAUUCUCUCUUCUCAUAAUGAGAUUGUAACGAAUUCAUAUUGUGACUUAUUUAAAUGAACUGGAUGCUUUGAGUUCAAAUAUGACUUUUUGUUUGAGAGUUUGUAUAGCUUUCAAUUCACUAGCAUAUCAAUUGCCAUUAACAUUGUCAAUUUGCAAAGGAAUUCAAGUAUUCAAUUGCAAAUUUAAUUCAACCUGAAUUGAUGGAAGCAAUUGACGUUUUACUGAAAAAACAAAAAUUUUUCAUGUAUACGUUCAUAGAUAAAUUAAUGUAAAUGUCACUAGAUGAUGUAUACGAUUAUUUCAUUUUUGUUUAUGUGAACUAUUUUUAUUUGAGUGCAAGUAAAUUCAGUUUAUCUCACACCCAUCCACUACGUAAUUUUUAUUGGAGUGCAAGUAAAUUUAGUUUAUCUCACACCCAUCCAUUACGGAAAUAUGAAAUACAAUGAAGAAAAUUUGUGAAAAAAUGGUAAAAAAUAAAAUAAAAAUGAGCAUGAUAAAAUGAUUUGGAAAUUGAUAAUAAGAGAAAGAGAAAGAUAGGAUAAACAAAGAGGAAUAAAGAGACGGAAGAAGAUGAAGGGGAUGAAGAAAGAGGAGAGGAUAAUGGCCCAAACAAAUUAGGAAAUUGCAAAUACUGAUGGAGAAAACCAAUGAAACAAAUUAGGAAAUGAAAAUCAUAAAAAGAUAUACUACAUUAUACUCUUAGGUGGUUUACAUGAUAUUUUAAAUGAACAAAUAUAAGCCUUCAGAUUAAAAGAAAUCAACGCUUAAAAUUUGGUAUCAACGAAUCUAUUGACACCUGGUGUCAACGAAUCCUGACUCUCUCUCUCUCUCUAUAUAUAUAUAUAUAUAUAUAUUAUAAAUUAGAUAUAUUAAUUAAUCAAUAAUUAAUUAUUUUUUUUUACUUAUAAUAGUAACUGAGUAACCUAAUGGACAUGAAUAUCUAAAGAGAGACUCAUUAUAUCAAGGAAGUGAAGACUAUAACAGGAGAUAUUUAAAAAGCAAAAUACAACGAUCCAUUCUGGCUUGAACAAUGUAUUUUCAUCUAAAUUAUUUUUUGGAGUGCCUUUAGAAUUCCUCUUAAGAUAUUUCACUAAACAACUCACUUGUUGUAACUAUUUUAUGUUUACAUACGUGAACAAGAUUGAGAAAGAGAUCUUAAGUUAGAUCCAGAACAACUAAUAUAACAACUAAACUUGCUAACAUCUAGAAAAAUAAAAUGAAAUUGAUAAAUAAAAACGAUUUAUA
rnacentral:lncRNA from 1 species